GACGAACGCUGGCGGCGUGCCUAAUACAUGCAAGUUGAGCGAUGAAGAUUGGUGCUUGCACCAAUUUGAAGAGCAGCGAACGGGUGAGUAACGCGUGGGGAAUCUGCCUUUGAGCGGGGGACAACAUUUGGAAACGAAUGCUAAUACCGCAUAAUAACUUUAAACAUAAGUUUUAAGUUUGAAAGAUGCAAUUGCAUCACUCAAAGAUGAUCCCGCGUUGUAUUAGCUAGUUGGUGAGGUAAAGGCUCACCAAGGCGAUGAUACAUAGCCGACCUGAGAGGGUGGUCAGCCACCUUGGGACUGUGACACGGCCCAAACUCCUUCGGGGGGCAGCAGUAGGGAAUCUUCGGCAAUGGACGAAAGUCUGACCGAGCAACGCCGCGUGAGUGAAGAAGGUUUUCGGAUCGUAAAACUCUGUUGGUAGAGAAGAACGUUGGUGAGAGUGGAAAGCUCAUCAAGUGACGGUAACUACCCAGAAAGGGACGGCUAACUACGUG
rnacentral:rRNA from 1 species